AUCCACGCAAAGGAGAGUCCCAUCCGGACAUGGGGGAAAGCCUUCCGUAUUGUAUCUUCAUGGCCCAUCAGUCCGGCGCACGUCACAUAGCCCGGACGCCCAGGGACCCCCUAAUCCAGGACUCCCUCAGUAGCCCCUGAACCAUGCUUCAAUGAUGAUAUGUCCGGCGCGCAGAUUGUCUUUGGCUUGCAAGGCGGGUUCCUCCUUCGAACACUUCAAAGCUGUUGAUUAACAAGAACUAUAUCUGGCUCUGUUUAACAGUUACUACCCCCCAUCGCAAGGGCAUAAUACUUAAUCAAAGAAUCACGUUAUGUCUUCACUGACAGUUUGCUGAUGGGACGUUACGUCUGGCCACUUCAUUAUUUUGAAUCGUUUUUUGACCCCCCCGUUUCACGUUUCGAGACGCAGCCUCCGGUGACACGUCUUGUCAAAGCAGAGAUCGUGUCCCCUUAUUACGGGAUUCUCAUCAAUGCGGGCUUGGGAAAUCCAACCGUGUCGUUCGCAUGACCCCUUGGGAAUAGGCGAGCUUUAAGGCUUGUGGGGGACGCUUGAUAUUCACUGCCUUUAUAAGGAGAUAAAGAUCCCCCUUUUUACCCCAUGCCUUCUUCUUCCUCAGCCCAUCCGCCCUAGAGCUCCAGCGCCCAAGCUUCAAUCCUUUCCGUCCCCCGCAAACAUUCCAGUCAUGUCCGGAUCUGGAGCGCAGGGCAAAUGGAUGGCCUCCUCCGUCACAGAGGGGAACAUCCAGGAGCUCCGGGGAGCGGGGUACCUAGCCAAGGAAAUCGCCCACCGACUUCCUGCCAAAAAGCAUAUUGUCCCCACUCCGGAGCCCAAUGAGAGGGUAGUAUUCAUCCCCCAUUUCCUUCGCGGACUAGGAUUUCCCCUUCAUCCUUUCGUCCACGGUUUCAUGUUUUACUACGGGCUAGAUUUCCAUGAUCUAGCCCCGAAUUCCUUCCUCAACAUUUCGGCGGUCAUCGUCGUAUGCGUGGCAUUCCUCCGCAUUCACCCCCCCACUUCGGCCUAUGGCUCAAGGUCUUCAAUGUGAAGCCGAAAGUGGUGGAUGGCCAACACGCGGAGUGUAGAGGCGCCAUGGUGAGCAAGCUUCCCAAUGUCACCUGGCCCAAGGGUACCUUCGUGGAGGCCGUGAAGGGAUGGCAGCAGGAGUGGUUCUAUGUCAUGAAACCUCGUGACUCCACAUGGGCCGCUCCUUCCGAGUUCAAGUCCGGGCCUCCAAUGCGGCUGACAUCCUGGCUCAACAAGGGCCUGGACCGGGCGUCAUCCGAUGAGGUGAUGACGCUGCAGAAGUGCGUCAAGAGUAUGGUAGACAAGAAUACCAGUCUUGCCAGCGUGAUCUAGGUAAUGCUCUUUCGCCGGAUUCUCCCCUGCCAACGCCGGACUCAGUAUAUGUGGGAGUUCGACCCGGCCAGUCCCCGGACACUGUAGUGGUUCUUCGGCACGAAGCACGAAGACAUGUGGAAGCUGCUUUUCAAGACCCAAAAGACGCGGCCGAAAAUGACCGAAGACCUUGGCCUCGACUGCACUCACGCAGCGACUCCCGGCUGGACGAAGAAGGCGGAGCGGAUUCACUGUCCGGAUCUGCUACCCGAGGACCCAGCCAUUCCUCUGUUGACGAGGAUGCUGGUCCCGGCGCCGUACCAGGCACCGGAAAAGAAGGCCAAAAAGAAGAGCAAGGAGGCCAAGGGUGGCCUCCGCCGUAAAGGCGCUUCGGACAUAGUGUCCGAAGACACCGAAACUCUCUCCUCUCAUGACGAAGAUGAAGAGGGGGAGGAAGAGAGCAAUUCCCCCCUUAAGGGGGGAAAGAAGAAGAGGGCGGCUUCCGUAGAUCUAGAUAAGAAGGCGUCCAAGAAAGGGAGAAUCUCCCUUACGGAUGAUUUCGAGACGGACGCCGAUGACGUCCACGAGUGGCGCCCCAGGCCAAAGCCCCUGGCCGGAUCCCCGGCUCGUGACCUCCCCCAGCGAUCCUCAUCUUCUGGGAAUUCGCUGGGUCCGAACAUGAUGGAGAGCGAGUCACCUUCGCCAGCCUCCCCCCCACUGCUACGGAUAACACCGAGGUGUUGUCCCGAAGGACCCUUCCGGGUCAGGGAGAGGUGCGGGAAGCCGCCAAGACGGCGCCAAAGGGUGAUACCCCUACUGCCGAGAACAUGGGGACCGACCCCAUGGAGACUGGAGACAGGGGCCAUGUCCAAUUUGGCCCCCAACCAAAUGUCAUUUUGGAGACCCACACGGCUCCGGAGUCAGAUGAGCAGCCUCCUUCAAAAGAAGGGGGCGCGCCCACUCCACCGGCGACCUCUGUCAAUCUGCAGGCGCCGGACACUUUGGUGGGAGCGCUUCAGAGCGUCGUCAUUGUGGAAGAACAUCGUACCCAUACGGUGGUUGAAAAGGUUCGGUCCGCUAAAAGUGGAUUGAAUGAGGCCUACACUAGCCUUCUGAGAGUCUUUGAGGUUGCGAUGCAGGCGUCAGCUAACCAUGCCGCCGAGGCGUUCGAGCUGAGGCAGAAGUUAGAGGCAAAGCAAGCUGACGCAUCUGAGGUCGAGACCCUCAAGAGCGUGCUGGCCGAAGCCAAGAAGGAGGCGAAGGAGGAACGAGCCGCCCGCCUGAAACAUGAAUCAAGGGUGGAGGAAGUCCAGCAAGAGCUCAAGGAUGCUAUAAGCAAAUGUGAGCCCUUAGAGCACAAGAUUUCAGAUCAAAAUUCCGAACUUGCUAAGGCCCUCCAAAGUACACAGGAGGCCCGAGUUGAAGCCCAAGGCGCCCUCCGCGAGAUCCAAGAGGCAAAGCAGAUCGCGUCUGGACAAAGGCAAGUGUUCUAUUUGUGCAUUGUGACGGGAAUUUUCUUGGAUAACAGAGGAAGCGAGCUAGGAGGAGUACACGGGUGGGAUGACAGAUGAUAAACUUGAUACGGGCAUGUUGUCAUCCAACCGACGUGCCCAGACAUGCUACGUAUUGGCAUGAUGGACUUCUAUGGGAAACAAAGACUUAAGUGAUGUUACUCAUGUUGUAGUAGAUGAAGUACAUGAACACACUGUUUUGUACAUAGCUUCAUGCUCCAUGGAUAAAAUUGUGAGAGUGUUGGAGAUCUCUAAAGGCACUUGUAUCAGAGUCGUAUAUGGAGUUUCUUCCCAGCUAUGCAUCUGCUUUCAUCCUGCAAUUAAUUUUAGCACGGGGAGAGUAAUCAGCAAACUCACCUAUGACAAUGCGGUUACAGCGUUGGAUAUCGACCACACUGGUCAACUUAUUUUUGCUGGUGAUGCGCAGGGUUACAUAUACACUAUUAGUGUGAACUCUCACACAGGGUCUUUAUCUAGAACUCAUAAGAACAAGAGUUGUAAGAUCAAAUCUUCCGUUACAACCAUCCGUGCAGAAUAUCCGUGCUUCUUUCUGUCCACUUCUUUCCCUUGAGAAAGGGGAAUUCAUAGGUAUUGAUGAAGUCGUUUACAUCCCUAAAGGGACACGGCUCUCCAGUAAUGGGAGUAGCCUGGAAUCACGGGGAAAAUUUGCUCGCCUCAUCUGAUUCAGACGGUACAGUUAUUGUAUGGAAACGAGCAAAAACUAAUUAGAGUGAACGCCACAUCUCGAGGAUGCUUGUAUACAGCAAUUAUAGAGGCUGAUACAUUGUCCUAACAGAGACAUUGCCUAGCGCGCAUUGUACCCACCACCAUGUUGUUUGUAACAUACCACAAGGCUUGGGCAAGAAGAUGGACCGGUCUUUGAUUAUAUUUACAGAAGUAUAGGUCUCCCAUUAAAGUGCAAAUCGAUUUUUUUCCGGUGUA